rnacentral:snRNA from 1 species
GUGCUCCUUCGGCAACACAUAUACUAACAUUGGAAUGAUACAGAGAAGAUUAGCAUGGCUCCUGCGCAAGGAUGACACGCAAAUUCAUGAAGCGUUCCAUAUUUCA